UUUAGCAGUUUGGAUGGGGCUGCACGUAAUAUCGUAAGAGCCUCCCUCCAUCUCCACAGUCUUUCAGAGAAUGGCAGAAGGCACUGCAAAAUUGACAAACGCCAUUCCCAAUCCUCAAUAAAAAUUUUGGCAUUCAUAACUUUCAGAGAAUGGCAGAAGGCACUGCAAAAUUGACAAACGCCAUUCCCAAUCCUCAAUAAAUCUUUUGGCAUUCAUAAUUCUCCAUUCUAUGGCUUCUUUGAUACCAGCAGACAUAUUUACUUCCCCGUUAUUCUCCUUCUCUGAGUUUGAAGAUGGUAGAUAUUGCCGCAAUAUAUCUAAUAGUUGCCCUAUAAACGUUACAACGGUCUUAUUUCGCCCAUCAUGAGUUACAUCCU
rnacentral:lncRNA from 1 species